rnacentral:misc_RNA from 1 species
AGCUUUUUUGCUAAAGUUCCAGGUGGAUGCCAAUAAUUGUUUUCUAAGAGGUCCAUAUUUGGCAAUUCUUGAAAUUGAAAGGCGGCGACACUUAUAUGGAAAGAGCAACUAUGAUGAUAUAAUGAAAGCUCUAAUACAAUAUUUUUUCAAGUUUGGUCACUUGGCCUGCUUCACUUCUGAUGUUGAAAUGUUUCUUCAAGUCCUAACUCCUGAUAACAAGAUGGAGUUUCUAGAGAAAGUAAUGAAAGGCACCAACUCCCUUCCAACAAUUCCAACUAAAGUUCUUGGGCUGUCAAUAACUGCAUUCAAAAUUCAGCAGUUGAUUGGAAACAUAGACAAGGUCCCUGUUGUUGAACACGAGGCCUUAGCUGGACA